GAGGGGAUAGCUCAGUGGUGGAGCACAUGCUUAGCAGGCACGUGGUCCUGGGUUCAAUCCCCAGCACCUCCA
rnacentral:tRNA from 1 species